GGUUUGGUAGUAUAAUGGUUAGUACCCUAGCUUGUCACGCUAGUAAUCGGAGUUCGAUUCUCCGUCAGACCGCCA
rnacentral:tRNA from 1 species